AAUGUAUUCUUGUAAGGUACUCAUGUAAUGUAUUCAUGUAAGGUACUCAUGUAACGUAUUCAUGUAAGGUACUCAUGUAAUUUAUUCAUGUAAGUGUAUCCAUGUAACAUGUAAUGUAUAGUGUAGACUCAUGAAUGAACUGACUCUGAUGUAAUUCCUUGUAAUAGGAAUAAUGUUAUGUAUCUCCUAACUAUCCCUAUAAUAGUUAACUGGAAGGUAAUUGAUUGUCCAAACAGGUUUAUACACCUUUGAUACACAAGAGUGUGGGAAAC
rnacentral:lncRNA from 1 species